GCUCAUCGAUUUCUUGCCUUUCACCUGCGAUUGCUGUCACAAGGUAACCCUCCUCUCCUUUCUUCUCUCUUAAAAAUUUGUGCCAUUUUUUAAACGAUCAUUACACAAAUAGCCAGUCGGUAUACAUAGAUUACACUUUAAUUACAUAUGAUUAUAACUCCCUCUCCUUUCUUCUCUCUAUAAAUUUGUGCCAUUUUUUAAAGGAUCCUUACACAAAUAGCCAGGCGGUAUACAUAGAUUAUACUUUAAUUACAUAUGAUUAUAUACAUAUUAUACAUCUGUCAGCUAUUUUUAGUUUGAGCUGUUAGGUGUGGUCAUUGGAGUUACUUUUCUUUUUUUGGUACAGUUGUGCCAUUUGUUCCAUUUUUCUUUUGUAGCAUAUGAUUUGACUGUCUUUUUGUCAAUUUUGAGCUGAAAUACUUUUGCUUUUUAUGUUUUCU
rnacentral:lncRNA from 1 species